rnacentral:lncRNA from 10 species
CUCGGGAGGCUGAGGCAGGAGAAUGGCGUGAACCCGGGAGGUGGAGCGUGCCGUGAGCCGAGAUCGUGCCACCGUACUCCAGCCUGGGCAACAGAGCGAGACUCUGUCUCAAAAAAAAAAAAAAAAAAAAAAUUUUCAAUACGAUUUUGCUGCUGGAUCAGAUGUACGGUAGGAAAUAAAGAAAGAAGCCAAGAAUGAGCCCAAGAUUUUUGGCCUGAGCUACCAGGUAAAUUGAAUCUUAGAUGAGGAAAGCUGUAGGAAAAGCAGGCUGGGAGAGAAACCGAGACUUCGGCUCGGUUAAAACGCGUAAAAAUACGCGUUUACGGAAUGAAUGAAAGCAGCCGCCGAAUGCUGGGCACCCACCCUUCUCACGCUCUUUCAUCGCAGUGGAGGGACAUCUGCGGUUAAAAUGGUUGAAAAGUGCUUUUUAGUCAAGUCUUUCUCACACACACGCCUCACCCCCACCCCUGGGUUCCAGAGAGAGAGGCCCAUAGCUGUGUGACCUUCUCACUUUGUUUUUACACCUUUAACUUUGUUUUGGCAGCUUUGACCUGAAGGCAGCAGUUCCAACCCGGUUUGUAUUCCUGGGUCAAGGAGAGGCUUCCUGCCUGGAACUCUUCCCCUGGCUCCCCUUGAAACCCCCAUCCCUGGGCUUUUCUUUGUAUGUAGAUCACGGUCCUGUAGUCCCUGGCAAAGGCAGAGGUGGGUUGGGGGCCUGCAGGGCUGGGAAGUGUGAAGUUUCUCCGCUGUUAGAGGAAGCCCGGGUGAUUCAGUGAGCUGGGCGCUAUCUUUAGGAAGGAAAACAUCACGUAGCGGGGGAUCUCUAUCCGGGCCAUUUGUCUGCCUGCUCCCUCCCCAGGGAGGUCUUCCCAGAGGCCUGGCAGCCCCUUCCUGCUCUUGCUUAAGCCGUGUGACAGGCGUCUUUAGUUCUGAAUAACUCUAGACCUGUAGAUCCAGUUCAUCCCCGUCUUGUGUUAUUUGAGCAAUUCUUGCAGAUUUUUCUUUGGUCUCUUUUUUACGGUGUGCAUGUGCAUGUAAGGACUAAGUCCGGGAAGCCUGCUAGGUAAAACCACAGUGGAGGCUCAGACCCCCAAAUUUCAAACCAGGUUUCAGCUCAAACAUCACCUUCUAAGAGAGGCCUUCCCUGACCACUACCUGCAUCAUUUGCUACCUUGUUACCGGACUUAAUUUCCCUGCAGCAUUUUUUACUCUUUAAAAUUAUCCUGACCAUCUAUUUCUUACGUACCUGCUUCUUGUCUGCCUCCUUCACUCUAGAAUGUAUGCACCCUCCAUGAUGGUCUUGCUCCUUACAUAGCCUGAGCCCAGGCCUGUGCCUGGUACAUACUGGGCCCUCAGUCAAGGUUAGUUGACCUGGUUGACCUUGACCUGGUUGACCAGCUGUAAGGCCCUCGGGGAAGGCCAGUUAGCAGGCACUACCUCUGCUCUUGUUUGGAUCUCUGCUAACUAUAAGAGGAUCUGAGUUAUAAUUUUUCCUUUUUCAGCUGUGGAGCUUCCCUGACCCUUUAUCAGCAGGCAGUGGGGACUCUGGGGAGCUUUAUCAACUCUAUGCAAGAGAGAAAGCCACUUUUGUCCCUCCUUUUCCCCUCGAGAGCUUCUCAUAUCAUCUCAGCCUCUGCCUUCCUGUGUCUCUCUAGAUCUGUGCUCUCAAUUUGUCCCCACCCCACAUAUCACUGUGGUUCUCCCCGUCUGCCCUCCGUUUCUCUAUUUCUGUCUCCCUCUUCUCCUCCUUCUCCCUCAGCUCUAUGUUUUCUUUCCUUUAUUGAGUUCUUACCUCAUGGUAAAUGCUAUACACAGACUCUCACUGACCUCUGACAAGAGUCCGUGUGAGAGAGGUCAUUAUUACCCCCAUUUUCCAGAUGGGGAAACUGAGACGUGGGGAGGCUCCUUUAGUGUCAAAGCAGUGCUUGCAGGUUGUUGGGUUUUUUCUUAUCCCAAGGUCAGAGAAACUUGGGGAAGUCAGAGCUAGAAGGUGAGAGACAGCUAUAAACUGCCUCCACCAGGUCAUCUGUGUCAUCUGCUAACUUCAGCAGAUCCUUUUUGGGGAAGAGGUGGUAAGGCAGAUGGAAAUAAAGCUUUCUUCUUAUUCAGUCUACCAGAAAUAUGAGCUCUUCAAACUUUAACAUGGAGGCAGAAGGGCCAGGAUGAAUCAGGUUAAACCAUGAUCUCCCAGACUGCAUUUUCAAGAGACGUGUGGGGCAGCCUUGGAAAUAGCUACUCCCCAGCUCGCCUGGCCUGGAUAAGUUAUUGUUAAAGAGUAAAGGGAAAUGAUCCUAAUGGAUUCCGCUUCCGGCCUCCCCCACGGAGUGGGCUGGUAACCGUUAUUUACAAGGCUGCCUUAUUCAUGGCCACUGAAGCUAGGAGAGGCAGGAUGGAGACAGAAUCCAACAAAUGGUUUAUUUAUAUCUACAUCCCAGACCUCAAAAGGAAAAUUCCCAUACUUAGACAUUCCUAGAUGGCCUGCGACACAGGAUAUUUAAAGUAACAAUGGGCCAAAUUCUUGCUUACAUUUUUGGCAGGGCUCCAGUCUGAAAGUCCACAAGAGAAAGACUUGGGCUGUAUAACAUGGAGGGAGGGGGGACUGUUUCUAAUUUGAGACCUGUUUAAGAUCUGACUUCCCCCUCCUUCCUGGAGUUACAAGGAAAAUAUGAUUUUGAUUUUAGAGACAACAUUCCAUGUGAUCCACUUUGGAAGAUUUUAGAAGUUGAAGCUCUGUGCCCUCCCCCUUGCCUUUGAGAAAAAGGGGGUUGUUAAAAGAACUAAUAGAACACACUUUGAAAAACCCUAGAACUCCUCUUCCAUUUCUUCUACCUGUGUCAGGGGUUGGCGAGGGGAAUAGCCACUACCUAUGGGCAGUCUAGUAGCCAAACCCUCUGAAUGCUGCAGAUGACCAUAUAGAGCUGAAUAUGGUUGUCUACAAAAUAGUCAUUGAGCCAUUUAAAACAUGUCUUUGUGACAUUAGUUCCAAGGAAAAUCUCAGGAAGGGUUUUUAAUGGUGACUUAUUAGCCUGGGCAACAUAGCAAUGUAAAAAAUCAAUUAAAAAAAAAUUAGGGCCAAGCAUGGUGGCUCACGCCUGUAGUCCCAGCUACUCGGGAGGCUGAGACAGGUGAAUCGCUUGAACCUGGGAGGCAGAGGUUCUGGUGAGCCAAGAUCACGCCAUUGCACUCCAGCCUGGGCAACAGAGCAAGACUCCAUCUCAAAAAAAAAAAAAAAAUUAGCCAGGUGUGGUGGCAGGUACCUGUAAUCACAGCUACUUGGGAGGCUGAGGCAGGAGAAUCGAUUGAACCCAGGAGGUGGAGGUUGCAGUGAGCCAAGACUGCACCACUGCACUCCAGCCUGGGCAACAGAGCAAGACUCCAUCUCAAAAAAAAAAAAAAAAAAUUAGCCGGGUGUGGUGUCACACACCUGUAUUCCUAGCUACUCCGGAGGCUGAGGUGAGAGGACUGUUUGAGCUCAGGAGUUUGAGGCUGCAGUGAGCUAUGAUUGUGCCACUGCACCCCAACCUGGUGACAGAGUGAGACCCUGUCUCUAAAAAACAACAACAAAAAAUAGUGACUUAUUGUACUUAUAGUCAAGGUGAAUUUUUUCCCAAUAACUUUAUUGAGGUAUGAUUGACAUAUAAAAAGCUGUGCAUAUUUAAUAUAUACAAUUCAAUGAGUUAUGACCUUCCCAACCCUAUGAUAAUUCUAAACACCAGCCUUGUAAAGAAAUAGAAAAAUGUACUAGCUCUGUAAGUUAGGAAGCCUUUGGCUGCCAGUCAUAAACCAGCUCACCCAGCGUGGCGGCUCAUGCCUGUAAUACCAGCACUUUGGGAAGCUGAGGUGGGUGGAUCACCUGAGGUCGAAAGUUUGAGACCAGCCUGACUAACAUGGAGAAACCCCAUCUCUACUAAAAAUACAAAAUUAGUCGGGCGUGAUCGUGUGCAUCUGUAAUCCCAGCUACUUGGGAGGCUGAGGCAGGAGAAUUGCUUAAACCCAGGAGGCAGAGGUUGCGGUGAGCCGAGAUCGCCCCAUUGCACUCCAGCCUGGGGCAACAAGUGCAAAACUCCAUCUCAAAAAAAAACAAAAUAAAACAAAGAAACUUCCCAGAAGUCCCCCUAGAUUUCCCCUCACCUCCCAUCGGCCUGCACUGCAUCACAUGCCAACACCUGGUACAGUCACAUUUGAUAAGACUCCUCUGGGUUUUACAGCUGGAGACGUGAAUAGGGUUAUUCUUCCCUGAGUCACAUGGGAAGGGGGUGAACUCCAGAACAAACGUGGGGCAGCAAUAAAAAAUGAAGGAUAGCUAUCAACCAAGGUGUCUGCCACAGUGGCUGUGAUCAAAAAAAUGUGGAAGCAAUGUAAAUGUCUAUCAGUGGGGGAGGGGUUCAUUCAUUAAAAGAAAAGAAAAAAGUACUGAUAGUCAAUAUAGUGAUAACCAAUAUGGAUAACUAGGUAGUGUCUAGAACCUGCAGAUAGAGCAGUGAAUAAAACUGCCUUUGAUUCAGUGGUUCACGCCUGUAAUCCCAGAAUUUUGGGAGGCCGAGGUGGGCGGAUCAUUUGAGGUCAGGAGUUCUAAGCCAGCCUGGCCACAAUGGUGAAACCCCGUCUCUACUAAAAAUACAAAAAUUAGCUGGGCGUGGUGGUGGGCGCCUGUAAUCCUAGCUACUCAGGAGGCUGAGGCAGGAGAAUCGCUUGAACCCAGGAGGCAGAGGUUGCAGUGAGCAGAUGCCAGCCUGGGUGACAGAGCAAGACACCAUCUCAAAAAUAAAUAAAUAAAUAAAAAAUAAGCAAAUAAAAAUAAAACUGCCUUUGAAGGGGAAAAGACAGAUAGCAAAUAAAGUAAUGAGCACAUGUGUGAUAUAAUUGCAAAUUGAAAUAAGGACAGCAAAGGAAAAGACAGCAAAGGAAAUAAGGACAGCAAAGAGAAUAUCAGGGCAGCCCAGGAAGGCCUUCUUACCUUCCUGAGGGUAAGAAGGAGUGAGCCGUGGGUAAGGGAGUGGAGGACUAUGGAGUAUUCCUGGCAGCAGCAAGAGCUUCUGAAGCAGGAAGGGCUCAGAAGCAGGAAAGGGCUGCUUAGCUUCUUGAGAGAGUUAUAGGAGGUGUGGGAAGGGGCACAAGAUAAGGGUGGGAGAGGAUGGAGGUAGCCAGGGCUAGAUUAGGUAGGGUCUUACAGGCUUCAGUAAGAAGUCUGACUUUAUUCCUAAAACCAAUGAGAAGGAACUGAAGUUUAUUGUUUAUUUAUUUAUUAUUAUUAUUAUUUAUUUGAGAUGGAGUCUUGCUCUGUCGCCCAGGCUGGAGUGCAAUGGUACAAUCUCUGGUCACUGCAACCUCUGUCUCCUGAGUUCGAGCGAUUCUCCUGCUUCAGCCUCCCGAGUAACUGAGAUUACAAGUGUGCACCACCAUGCCCAGCUAAUUUUUGUAUUUUUAGUAGAGACGGGGUUUCGCCAUGUUGUCCAGGCUGGUCUCGAACUCCUGACCUCAAGCAAUCCGCCAGUCUCAGCCUCCCAAAGUGUGGGGAUUAUAGGCGUGAGCCACCGCACUUGGCCUGUUUGUUUUUAAUUAUUUUUAAACCCUUUUUAUUUUGGAAUAAUUUUUGAUUUACAGAAGAGUUGCAAAGAUGGUACAGAGAAUUGCCCUAUAUUUUUCAGCCAGCUUUCCCUAAUUUUAAUAUCUUACAAAACCAUGGUACAUUUAUCUAAAUCAGAAAUUAACAUUGGCACAAUCCUGUCUAGAUUUUAUUCAGAUUUUACCAGUUUUUCAACUACUGGCCUUUCUCUGUUCCAGGAUCCAGUCCAGGAAAACAUUUACUUAUCAUGUUUUUCCCAGUCUGUGACAAUUUGUCCGUCUUUCCUUGUUUUUCAGGACCUGGACACUUUUGAACAGUACUGGUGAGUUUUGGAGCUUUGCUGUCCAUCUGCAGCACACUCCAGUUUAGGGGACAGCUUUCCCAGGAAGGAGGCUCUAGCAGCUCCUUGCAGUAUUCCGCUUCAUAAUGAAGAGCAGCUUUCCUCCGAUGGUUCUACGGUCGUCCUAGAGCUGGGAGAAGGGAUUGCCCAGCCCAGGAAGCCCUAUCUUCUCUUCCCCUUUCAGUGGCUGCUUAUUCUCAAACUUGAGGCCUUGCUGGCUGAAGAGGUCAGGGAAGUAAACACACAAACACACCAGAAACGGCAGUCCCGUGUAUAUUUAACAAUAUAUAUUUAUAUAUAUUUUCUAAAUCAGUACAUUCAGUUUUUAACU